rnacentral:tmRNA from 1 species
GGGGAUGUUUUGGAUUCGACAGGUAUAGGUCGAGCUUGAAUUGCGCCUCGUAGUUGCGCGACGUAAAGACGCUCAGUUAAAUAUAACUGCAAAAAAUAAUAACAAUUCUUACGCUUUAGCUGCGUAAUAGUAGCUUAGCGUAGAUCCGCCUAACAUCGUCCAUGUGUUGGUCACGGGUCUUAAACUAAGUGGACUCACGCCAAAAGCUCCCACCUGAAGCUGCUGGAAGAGAGUAAUCAGGUUAGUUGUCAAUGCUGGCCAUGCCAUUCGGCGUAGUUGACAAUGAACUCUAAAUAGAAUGACUAUGGGCGUAGAGGUUUAAGUGACGAUAUGCUUGGACGCGGGUUCGAGUCCCGCCAUCUCCAUUA